rnacentral:rRNA from 1 species
UGGGGAAUUUUGGACAAUGGGCGCAAGCCUGAUCCAGCAAUGCCGCGUACAGGAUGAAGGCCUUCGGGUUGUAAACUGCUUUUGUACGGAACGAAAAAGCUCUUUUUAAUAAAGAGAGUUCAUGACGGUACCGUAGGAAUAAGCACCGGCUAACUACGUGCCAGCAGCCGCGGUAGUACGUAGGGUGCGAGCGUUAAUCGGAAUUACUGGGCGUAAAGCGUGCGCAGGCGGUUUUGUAAGGCAGAUGUGAAAUCCCCGGGCUCAACCUGGGACCUGCAUUUGUGACUGCAAGGCUAGAGUACGGUAGAGGGGGAUGGAAUUCCGCGUGUAGCAGUGAAAUGCGUAGAUAUGCGGAGGAACACCGAUGGCGAAGGCAAUCCCCUGGACCUGUACUGACGCUCAUGCACGAAAGCGUGGGGAGCAAACAGG